rnacentral:rRNA from 1 species
GACGAACGCUGGCGGCGUGCUUAACACAUGCAAGUCGAACGGAAAGGCCCUGCUUUUGUUGCGUGCUCGAUUGGCGAAGGGGUGAGUAACACGUGAGUAACCUGCCCUUGACUUUCGGAUAACUUCAGGAAACUGGGGCUAAUACCGGAUAGGAGCUCCUGCUGCAUGGUGGGGGUUGGUAAGUUUCGGCGAUUGGGGAUGGACUCGCGGGUUAUCGGCUGGUUGGUGGGGUAGUGGCUUACCAAGGCUUUGACGGGUAGCCGGCCUGAGAGGGUGACCGGCCACAUUGGGACUAGGAGACGGCCCAGACUGCUACGGGCGGCAGCAGGGGGAAUUAUUACGCAAGAGGCGGAAGCCAGAUACAGAAACGCCGCGUGCGGGAUAACGGCCUUUGGGUUGUAAACAGAUUUCGCCUGAGACGAGGCGUGAGUGACGGUAAUGGGUAAAAAAGCACCGGCUAACUACGUG